rnacentral:tRNA from 1 species
GGCUCGGAGGCUCAAUUGUAAAAGCAUUUGUCUAACGAAUAAGAUCGUGAGUUCAAAUCUCACCUGAGCUG